rnacentral:rRNA from 1 species
GAACGCUGGCGGUGCGCCUUAUGCAUGCAAGUCGAGCGAAGCUUUUCAGUAGUUUACUACAGAAAAUGACUGAGCGGCGAACGGGUGAGUAACGCGUGAGCAAUCUACCUUAGUUACAGGGAUAGCCCGAGGAAACUCGGAUUAAUACCUGAUAUUCUUUAAAUUUCGCAUGAAAUUAAAAGGAAAGGUCAGCCGAACUAAGAUGAGCUCGCGUUCUAUCAGCUAGUUGGUGAGGUAAAAGCUCACCAAGGCUACGACGGAUAGCUGGUCUGAGAGGACGAUCAGCCACACUGGGACUGAGACACGGCCCAGACUCCUACGGGAGGCUGCAGCAGGGAAUAUUGCGCAAUGAGCGAAAGCUUGACGCAGCGACACCGCGUGUGGGAUGACGGAUCUAGGUUUGUAAACCACUUUCAGGAGGGAAGAAAAUGACGGUACCUCCACAAGAAGCCCCGGCCAA